GUGGGGAAUAUUGCACAAUGGGCGCAAGCCUGAUGCAGCAACGCCGCGUGGGGGAUGACGGCCUUCGGGUUGUAAACCUCUUUUAGUAGGGAAGAAGCGAAAGUGACGGUACCUGCAGAAAAAGCACCGGCUAACUACGUGCCAGCAGCCGCGGUAAUACGUAUGGUGCAAGCGUUGUCCGGAAUUAUUGGGCGUAAAGAGCUCGUAGGCGGUUUGGCGCGUCUGCUGUGAAAUCCCGAGGCUAAACCUCGGGCCUGCAGUGGGUACGGGCAGACUAGAGUGCGGUAGGGGAGAUUGGAAUUCCUGGUGUAGCGGUGGAAUGCGCAAAUAUCAGGAGGAACACCGAUGGCGAAGGCAGAUCUCUGGGCCGCUACUGACGCUGAGGAGCGAAAGCAUGGGGAGCGAACAGGAUUAGAAACCCGGGUAGUCC
rnacentral:rRNA from 1 species